CGCGGGGUGGAGCAGUUGGCAGCUCGUCGGGCUCAUAACCCGAAGGUCGUUGGUUCGAAUCCUUCCCCCGCAACCA
rnacentral:tRNA from 2 species